rnacentral:rRNA from 1 species
AACUCUGUUAUCAGGGAAGAACAAAUGUGUAAGUAACUGUGCACAUCUUGACGGUACCUGAUCAGAAAGCCACGGCUAACUACGUGCCAGCAGCCGCGGUAAUACGUAGGUGGCAAGCGUUAUCCGGAAUUAUUGGGCGUAAAGCGCGCGUAGGCGGUUUUUUAAGUCUGAUGUGAAAGCCCACGGCUCAACCGUGGAGGGUCAUUGGAAACUGGAAAACUUGAGUGCAGAAGAGGAAAGUGGAAGUGGAAUUCCAUGUGUAGUGG